UGCCAGCAGCCGCGGUAAUACGUAAGGGGCAAGCGUUACCCGGAAUUAUUGGGCGUAAAGCGUCUGCAGGUGGAUAGUUAAGUCUGUUAUUAAAUACCGGAGCUCAACUUCGGUGCCGUAAUGGAAACUGGCUAUCUAGAGGGUGGGAGAGGUGUGUGGAAUUGUGCAAGUAGGGGUAAAAUCCGUAGAUAUGCACAGGAAUAUCAAAAGCGAAGGCAGCACACUGGACCAUUCCUGACACUCAGAGACGAAAGCGUAGGUAGCAAAACGGAUUAGAUA
rnacentral:rRNA from 1 species